rnacentral:rRNA from 1 species
AGCGAACGCUGGCGGCAGGCCUAACACAUGCAAGUCGAACGAACUCUUCGGAGUUAGUGGCGGACGGGUGAGUAACACGUGGGAACGUGCCUUUAGGUUCGGAAUAACUCAGGGAAACUUGAGCUAAUACCGAAUGUGCCCUUCGGGGGAAAGAUUUAUCGCCUUUAGAGCGGCCCGCGUCUGAUUAGCUUGUUGGUGGGGUAAUGGCUCACCAAGGCUACGAUCAGUAGCUGGUCUGAGAGGAUGACCAGCCACAUUGGGACUGAGACACGGCCCAAACUCCUACGGGAGGCAGCAGUGGGGAAUCUUGCGCAAUGGGCGAAAGCCUGACGCAGCCAUGCCGCGUGUAUGAUGAAGGUCUUAGGAUUGUAAAAUACUUUCACCGGUGAAGAUAAUGACUGUAGCCGGAGAAGAAGCCCCGGCUAACUUCGUGCCAGCAGCCGCGGUAAUACGAAGGGGGCUAGCGUUGCUCGGAAUUACUGGGCGUAAAGGGAGCGUAGGCGGAC